rnacentral:lncRNA from 1 species
GUCACUACAUAGUUGAUAUGCUUCAAUAUAGAUAGAAAAAAAAGAAAAAAAAAAGAAGAGAGUCACUGGCUACGUGGUUGUAAAGUGGGUAUCGAGGGUAUUCAACAGUUAAUAAGAAAACAAAUAGAUAUAGUAAAAACAAAAGCCCACACGUAUACACAGACAGAGUCGGUGGUUUCGGAGGAGAAAAGAAAAGGGAUUAGGGUUUGAGAAUUCAAUCGAGCGACUACAUCGAAUCAGGUGAGGAUUUGAGCCUUGUCCAUAUGUAAUUAUGUCAGUGUUUAUCUGCUUGCCAUUCGUAUAUAUGUAUUGUUGUGUGUUGACGGAGAUGAUUGGGGGCGUACGGUGGUCGGAGGCUGAGAGGCGGCGGCGAUUUCGCCGGAAGUUGGAAGUUGAGUUUUGAGGAUUGAUUGGCAUCGUUCGGAGUCGAAGGGAGGCGCUGGGUUGUAGACGAAACGACGUCCAGGGGUUGGGGAGACGCAGCAGCGGCAAUGGUUCGCCGGUGGGUUUCGGCGGAUGGAUGGGGCGGCGACUCCGUGGUAUGGAGGUCAGUUCGUAGGGGUUCCGAUCGGGAAAGACAGGGCCAUAUGCAGUCGCCAGCGUGGCUGUGUUCCACAUCCUUUUCAGGCUGAGAAAAGCGUGGUUAGAGAGAGAGAUAUGAGAUGAUUUCCGGAGAAGGUGGGAGGUGGUUGCUGGUGCCAAACCCGAAGGAGGCUGCCGGGUUUGGGUUUUGAAGAAAACUAAAAGAAAAUGUUAGUUUUAUUUUUAUUAUUGAUAUUUUUAUUAUUGUUAUAAUUAGCGAUAAUAAUAAUAUUAAUAAUAUUCAUAAAAUUAAUAAUUAUUUUUGGAGUGCUAUGUUGAAUGCAAAUUGUAUUAUUAUUAUUAUUAUAUGCGUAAUGUUAGAUUCCAGAUUGUUAGUAUUGAAUAUUACGACAAUUGUUUCAGAUUUUGAUUAUGAUUAUAUAAAUAUUGUCUUAAAGGUAUCAAAACUGUUAGUUUUUAAAUGACCACAUGUUUAGUUGGAAAGACUAAUGCUUGGAUGAAUACUGAUAUUGAAUUGUUGUUGACCAUUGGAUUGACCUACUAUCAGAAUCACUAUGAUUUAAUUAUUCGAAUUGAAUAAAAUUCAUAGUUAGAAAGAAUAUCCGGUUUGAUUGAUUUUAUGCGGCACUUAAUAAUUAUUAACACGAAUUGCAUGUUAUAUGCAAUACUUGAUUAUGUGAUACGUGAACUAUGUGACACUGCCAUGAUUAGUAUAAGCGAAUGGGUAGUAUAUAUUAUUACGAGACGUAUGAUUACGUCAAUUGAGUUAACCUGAGUUGUUGAAUCAAUACUUUUUGAACUAUAGAUUCAAGAGUUGAUAGUGACUCCAGGUUCUAAAGCGAAUACCAGUUAGAGUACAACAAAAGGCAAGUAUUUCUAUUUUUCUCUUAUUUGUUAAGAGCAAGUGAUUUUAUUCCACAACUUUUAAUUAUUGCCAAUGCAACUAUUAUAUUCUGUAUUUCAAUUCAUAGAAUAUCAUAUGCUUGGAAUAUAAUUAUUGUUCGGUAUUCCAUUAUAAGAUACACCAUACAGAUACUCAAAUAAUGAUUGAAUUCAAUACAUUCCAAUGAUUGAAUUCACUACAUUCUAGUAAUCAUUCUACUAGAAUUCUCAAUUUAUUUUAGAUAGAUAGUUCAAACUAUUCUAUCCAGAUAUACUCCAUACAGUAUACAUUUUUUAAUUUAUGAUUAGCAAAUAACUAGUUAUUCUAGUUAUGUUGCCAUUAAUUGGGAGAUACUCCGGACCAUGUGACAUGGGGAGUAAUUGAAUAAGGAAGUCGAUUGAUUCGACCCCUUGAAAGAAAAAGAUUUUGAUUGGAUGAAUGCGUAAGAGGCCGUGACGGCGGUCCAGUGAGGGCUAUAUACGUAUUAUAUGAAACAUUAUAAUACCUCUGCGAAAGGCCAAUGUGUUGCCUUAUGUUUGGUACCUAUCGUAACGGAUAUAAUAACCUUUGGUUCCCAUGGGGUAGCCUACAAACAACUUUACUUCUGUACGAGAUUCUAGCUUAGUCGCGUUCUUGUUCAGCACAUGUGCUGGACAACCCCAUAUCCGAAUAUGUCUUAGACUCGGUUUGUCCCCGGUCCACAAUUCCAAAGGGGUUUUAGGAACUGACUUAGAAGGUACUAAGUUCAGAAGAUAAGCUGCUGUCUCUAAGGCAUGUCCCCAAAACAACUUGGGUAAAUCCGAAUAACUCAUCAUCGAUCUAACACUCUCUAAAAGAGUCCGGUUCCUUCUCUCUGCUACACCGUUCUGCUGGGGUCUGCCUGGUGCAGUGAUCGAACGAUCAGAUCGUAGUGACUUGAUACUUUUAUUAUGUCGCUUCUCCGUUUUAGCUUUGUACUCUUUGAAUUUCUCAAAGCACUCAGACUUACGGUGCAACAAAUAAACGUAUCCAUAUCUAGAAUAAUCGUUAAUAAAAGUGACGAAAUACUCAUAACCACCUCUUGCUUGGAUAUUCAUUAGUCCACAUAAAUCAGAGUGAACCAAUCGUAACACUUCUUUGGCUCUAUUCCCCUUUGCCUUGAAAGGCCUAUUGGUCAUUUUACCUUCCAAGCAGGAUUCACAAACUGGAAAUGGCUCCACUGCCAAUGAGCCUAAAGGCCCGUCUACUACCAGUCUUUGAAUCCUCCUCAAGUUAAUAUGACCUAAUCUCAAGUGCCAAAGAUAUGUUUGGUUCAAACUAGAAGGUUCCUUUCUUUUAUUAGAGGUAGAAAAUGUGUUGUUUAAUACCCUAUGUUGUAGUUGCAGUGCAGGUUGACUAGGAUUAAUUAUAUACAAAUUGUCUUGCAAUGUACCAGAACAUAUAAUCCGUUUAUUCAUCAUAAUAGAAACAUUACGAUCCAAACAAACAUUAUAACCAUCCAUAGCAAGUUUAGAAACCGAAAUCAAAUUCCUUCUAAAAGAAGGUACAUAAAGACAAUUGUUCAAAACCAAAAUCCUAUCAGAACCAAAAGAUAAAUGAAUAACUCCUACUGCAACUACUGCUACUUUCGUAGCAUCUCCCAUGAACACGUACAUCUCACCAUCUCUAACCAUUCUGGAUUGCUGGAACCCCUGCAUAGUGUUACAAACAUGAUCAGUGGCUCUCGUAUCUACACACCAAGUGCUCGUAGAUAUAGCCGCUAUAAAUGUUUCCGUAACUAGAGAAAGAGACAUACCAGUAUUGUUUGUCUUCUUAGGAAUAGGACAAUCCUGUUUCCAGUGACCAAAGAGACAUACCAGUAUUGUUUGUCUUCUUAGGAAUAGGACAAUCCUGUUUCCAGUGACCCGACUGCUUGCACCGGUAGCAUUUUCCCUUAGGCUUUUUCACACCACCUUGAACUCCCACUGCCUUCACAGCUUUCUGUGUCGGAGCCUUUUUCUUCUUCUUAUUGCCUUUCGGCUUAGAGGAACAACCUUUCUCAGCCACAUUCACUUGAACACUCUGCCGAAACAAUCCUUCAGCUACCUGAAGUUCUGUCAGCAGUUCUGUAAGACUAUACUGCCUCUUGUUCAUGUUUUAAUUCAAGCGGAACUGCUCAAAACUCUUGGGAAAGCUCAUAAGGACUAUGUCAAUCUGGGUUUUCCCGUCAAGCUCAGCACCAAGGAUCUCUAUCUCAUUCAGAUGUGACAUCAUCUUGAGAACAUGACCCCUUACAGGUGUACCUUCAGCCAUCUGAGUGUUCAUUAAAGCCUUCAUGGCUACUUGCCUAGCAACCCUAUUCUAAUCUCCAAAAAGUUCCUUGAGAUUAAAGAGCAUAUCUGAAGCAGUGGCCAUAGCCUGAUGCUGAUGCUGCAAAACACCCGACAUUGCUGCCAGAAUGUAACAUCGCGACAUCUCAUCAGCCUUUGUCCACCGCUUAUAAUACUCCUUCUCCUCAUCAGGAGCAUCAGCAGCGGGCUGCUCAGGCUUGGGUUCAUAAGUGCAAAACUUGUACUCCUCAGCAGUCAACACAAUGUCCAAAUUACGUUUCCAUUCAAUAUAGUUAGGUCCGGUAAGUUUGUUAUCCUUAAGUAUGGUGAACAGUGGAUUAAAGCCCAUUUUAUCCUGAGAAUCAUGCAUGAAAAAAUCACAUUACACAUAAAGAAGGGUGCAUUAAAAAUUAAGACCUAUUGGUUCCUCUAACAAUUAUUAAAUUAAAUGCACUAACGUUUAAACACCAUAAGUUUCUGAUACGUCACGAUGGGUGACAUGUAUACCACCUAAAUUUGUUUAAACGUUACUUCGGUCCUAUUACUAAACAAUAAGCCACGUUGGGGUGGUCUAUAUUAUUUUUCAUAGCUAAGUGUAUACCAUCAUCAAAUCUUAAAUUAUCCGAAACCUAUGGAACUUGGUACGCCACGAUGGGCGGCAUGUAUACCUUCCAAUAUUCUUUGAAUAGAAUACUUCAAUUCAAUAUUCGUCAAUGGUUUGAUUUUUAGGCAGUGGAGCAGUCACAUCGGUCUUACUUAAUACCCAUAAGCCUUAGAAAUCACCUCAAAUCAGAGAUAAAGAAAAUUCGUAUUUAUUCAUUUUAAUUUAAGAAGUUUGUUCCAAUAAUAUCUAUAACAUUCUAGACACCAUAAAUUACAUGCCAUGAUGGGUGACGUAUAUAUAAUUUAUAUUCGUCUUAUGUUAAAUUACAUACAAACAAUGAUGGAGACCAUGGGAUAUAAUAUCAUAUUAACUCCCUCUCCCACUUAGAAUUGACUUUGAGGAUUUUAAUCUAGAUGCAUCGCCCUAUGUUAGUUCUUCGAAGUCCACAUGCAUACUAUCAUGAUUACAACAAAACAAAGAACACAUAACAUGGCAGCAUACUAGCAUGAUUAAAGCAUUAAUUAAAAACAUCCCUAUGUCCAUGUCAUUCUAGCAUGCGAAGGGUUAGUAUUACAUGGCAUAACAACAGAGAUAAGAAACACAUAAUAACAAUUAUUAAGAAUUAUGUAAAUCAUAAUAAAACACAUCCACUAUUAUGGCCCUGGAAAAAAUAGCUUCGAAUUCAUCCUUCGAAAAAUUGCGGAAAACUUCAAGAGCCCGUUUAGAGGCUUAAAUGGCCUCAGAAUGCCUCGAAAAAUUCCGAAAAACAGCCUCGAAAACAUCCCAACCAGGCUUGUCUUGGAUGUAUCUAGGUCCGUCUCGUUCUGCCGGCUCCUAAAAGUGCUUAUUCGCCCAAAUCGGACAUCGUAUGCAAAAGUUACGGCCAAAACAGUGCAGCACCCCCGAAAACAGAUCGCAGCAGCGGAAGAUCUCUAUUUCUUGCAGCCCCGUUGAUCAAACAAUUACAUACAAAAUGUACAGACGAACCAGCCUAUUCUAUUACAUCAGAUCAUAAUCUAAAACAAUUACCAAAUUGAAUUACAAGAUUAAACUAUCACGAUCAACCCUCGUGAUUUACAACAGCCACGAUAAACCACGUGGAAUCCAAACAUAACAGAAUAAAAACACGGCCGUAAUAGUGGAUAACAACCUGCAUCACAGAACCACUAUAUACAUGCAUAUAUAAUCAUGACAUGGACUACAUAUCAUAAAUCGCAGAACCGCAACCUGGCUCUGAUGCCAUUGAAGGAACAAUCGGACCUUGGCCCUGCGUUUUAUGAUACUAAUUAAAAGUUCGAACAGAAUAUUAACCUUAAUCGCUACGGCGCAAGCGAUUCAAAUCCAUGUGUUCUACUGUAUUCUCUGAUUCUCCUUGGACGAAGUGUGGCCUUCGAUCUCCCAAGGUGUGCCUCUCCUUAAAGCUCCGAAAACCCAAAACCCUAGCUGUCUCCUUGAGAAAAACGUCUGCCUCUCUCAGACUCUAGGAUGAAUUCGUUUUGGUGUGUCUUUCAUCUUUAGGAGAACGAGAAUAUAUAUAGGCUACAGUAGGGAUCAUGGACCAUUAGGUCAGGCCUUCCAAUGACAUUCCGGGCCAGGCCCAAUGUCAUUAAAUAUUAAUUCAAUCCACUAAGGAAUUAAUAUUUGCACUACCUUUCCUAAUUCCGUAAAUUAAUUAUUUAAUUCGGCUCCCAUAUUAAUUGCUUAUAAAUUCCCCAUGUUUAAGAUAUCGCAUGUCCAUUAAUUAAAUUAAUUUCUGACAAUUAAUUUAAUCAAUAUCUUUUAUCCUUGAUCAUCCACUCAACCUUAUAAUUAUGCAAGAACAAAUCUGCCUGCAGGACUAAAGCAUAAUUAUCUUUAUGAGCUUUCAAGAGGACAUCAUCACCCGAAUAUAUUUUUCGGACACGGUUUCCUUUUAUAGUCAAUAUCCCACUCUGUAUAUAAUGUCAUUGCCCAAUACAUAAAUUCGUAAUUUAAAAUAAAUUACUUAAUUUAUGAGUCAAGGCAUGUGCAUUAAAUACAAGUGUCAAUCACUAUAUCCGGAUUAAGAACUUAAGCAUUAAUAACAUCAUAGAAUCUUAGUUCUUUAUCGUCAGAAUUAAAGAAACAAUUAUUCUACUAUUUUGAUCCCAUUCAAUAUACACAAAGUAUAUAAGUAUUAUUCAAUAGUCAAGAUAAAUUAUUUCCAAAUAAUACUUCAGCCAUUCCAGUGGUUUGUCUAACACCACCUCGACUGUGAACCUUUAUUAUAUUAUAUAAGGAGUCUGACAAUCUAAUCUUCUGCUAUCCCAUUUGAUACUAGAUUGUCUACAAUAUAUAAUAUACAGACAAUGUGAAAACAUGCAUUGAAGAUUCUCAAAUAAUUGUUAUAUACUUCAAACGAAUAUUUCAGUACAACCCUAACACUUACACCAGCAUGAGGAUCACCAAUAAUAAGAUCAAAGGGAUGAUCUCUGCUCAAAAUCCUUCCCUNNNNNNNNNNNNNNNNNNNNNNNGGAGAUAUGUAUCAUUAAGAAAACAUGCAUUCAAGAUUCUCAAAUAAUUUUUAUAUACUUCAAACGGAUAUUUCAGUAUAACCCUAACAGAAGGAUCAUCAUAGAAGAUAUUGCUAUAGUUGAAGGACUUCAACAUAAUCUCCUGAGUGUUAGUCAGUUUUGUGACAAAGGAUAUUAUGUUCGCUUUGAAAAGGAGAUAUGUAUCAUUAAACAUAUCAAGGAUAAGCGUCCUUCACUCUGUGGCAUAAGGAAAGGUAACAUAUACGUAGCUAAUUUGUCUUCAGGAUCAGGAAAUGCAGUUCACUGUUUCUACGCAAAGGCGUCUGCUGAAGAUAGUUGGUUAUGGCAUAAGAAGCUCUCACACCUCAACCUCAAAACUAUGAACUCUCUAGUCAAGAGAGAUCUGGUGAGAGGUUUGCCUUUCCUGGAAUCCUCAACUGAUGAUCUCUGUGAAGCUUGUGAGAAAGGAAAAGCGAAGAGAGCAUCUCACAAAGGCAAAGUCAUCAAUACUAUUACAGAUCCACUCCAUUUACUGCAUAUGGAUUUGUUUGGCCCCGUGAAUGUCACAUCAAUUAAUGGAGAAAGAUAUUCCUUGGUCAUUGUGGAUGACUUCUCGAAAUAUACUUGGGUUCACUUCCUGACUUCUAAGGAUGAAACUCCGAUCAUAGUUAUUGAUCAUAUAAAGCAAGUUGAAUUGGAAAAGGGUGUGCCAGUGAAAUCUAUAAGGUCAGAUAAUGGCAUGGAAUUCAAGAAUCAAACUCUAAUAAACUUUUACUCUGAAAAGGGAAUUAGAAGGCAGUAUUCAACACCAAGGACUCCUCAACAGAAUGAAGUCGUCGAAAGAAAGAAUCGUACAUUAAUUGAAGCUGCAAGAACAAUGAUUGUUGAAGCAAAGCUUCCACUGUACUUUUGGGCUGAAGCUGUGACUACUGCCUGCUAUACCCAGAAUCGAACGUUGAUCAAUAAGGAUCAUAUGAGAACUCCAUUUUAGCCGUAUAACAACAAGAAACCAUAUGUCAAGCAUCUUCAUGUCUUUGGAGCUAAGUGCUGUGUUCUCAAAGAUGGAGAAGAGAACUUGAACAAGUUUGAGCCCAAGGCAUCUGAAGCCAUUUUUGUUGGUUAUACAAAUAAUGCUUAUAGAGUUUUUGUAAUUGAUACUCUGUCAGUGAAAGUUAGUGUCAAUGUUACAUUUGAUGACACUAAACUUCCAAGUCUGCAAUCUGCUAAUCCUUCUGAGUCUCUGAAGUUUGAUAACUAUCCAGAUUCUGAUUCAGAUGAUGAUGUGCCACCUGAGGCUGCAGCAGGUGAUGACAACAAUGAUGAUAAUGAUCUAGGCAAUGGUGAAAAAAGUGGCAAUAAUGCUGGAGAUUCCACUAAUGCUAGUGGUGGAUCAACAAGUCAACGUGGCAGCAACUCAAGGGGAGCUGGUGGAUCAACUAGUCACACAAUUCAGCUUACGGACAAUACAGCUGAAUCAUCAAGGACACAACUUCCAAGGGAAAGGAUUUGGAGCAGAGAUCAUCCCUUUGAUCUUAUUAUUAGUGAUCCUGAUGCUGGUGUAAGGACUAGAAGUGCUACGACAAAUGAAUAUCUAUUCUCUGGUUUUGUAUCACAAUUAGAACCAAAGAAAGUGGAUGAAGCACUUGCUGAUCCUGAUUGGGUUCUUGCCAUGCAAGAAGAACUCAAUCAAUUUGAGAGACAAGAAGUCUGGGCCCUAUUUCCAAGGCCAAAAGGAAAGUCUACAAUUGGAACUAGAUGGGUCUUCUAUAACAAGUUAGAUGGUGAUGGCAUUGCUGUAAGAAACAAAACCAGACUGGUCGCAAAUGGGUAUUCUCAAGAAGAAGGAAUUGAUUAUGAUGAAUCCUAUGCUCCAAUUGCUCGUCUUGAAGCCAUCAGAAUAUUUCUUGCAUUUGCUGCACAUUCCAACUUCAAGGUUUAUCAGGUGGAUGUGAAAAGUGCAUUUCUGAAUGGAAAGCUCGAAGAAGAAGUAUAUCUGGAACAGCCCCCUGGCUUUGAAAAUCCAGAAUUUGCUGAUUUUGUGUACUUCCUAUUCAAAGCUGUCUAUGGGCUUAAGCAGUCACCAAGGACAUGGUAUGACACCCUCUCUGAAUUUUUAAUUGAAAAUAAAUUUACUAGAGGUGUCAUAGACAAAACUCUCUUUUACAAAUUGCAUGAUAAUGAUAUGAUAUUUGUUCAAAUAUAUGUUGAUGAUAUUAUAUUUGGUUCUACUAAUGAUAACUUGUGCAAGAGGUUUGCUAAGUUAAUGUAGAGCAAUUAUGAAAUGAGUAUGAUGGGUGACCUAUCCUACUUUCUUGGUCUUCAAGUAAGCCAAAAGGAAGAUGGCAUUUUCAUUUUCCAAUCAAAGUAUGUCAGAGAUCUUCUGCGAAAGUACAAUCUGGAAGUCUCUUCUCCGGCAAAGACACCCAUGGCCACUGCCACAAAGCUUGACCAGGAUAAAUCUGGUAAGAAAGUUGAUAUCACAAGCUAUCGAGGUAUGAUUGGCUCUUUACUUUAUCUUACUGCAAGUAGACCAGAUAUCAUGUUUGCAACAUGUGUGUGUGCUAGGUUCCAAGCUGAUCCUAAAGAAUCACAUCUUAUAGCCGUCAAAAGAAUCUUUAGAUAUCUUAAGGGUACACCUGGUUUAGGUAUUUGGUACCCUAAGAAUACUGGUUUUGACUUAACCGGCUAUACAAAUUCUGAUUAUGCAGGAUGCAGGAUUGAUCGGAAAAGUACGUCUGGAAGCUGUCAAUUUCUAGGACGUCGAUUGGUUUCCUAGUACAGCAAGAAGCAGCACUUAGUGUCUACUUCUACUUCUGAAGCUGAGUAUAUAGCUGCUGGAAGCUGCUGUGCUCAGAUACUGUGGAUCAGAAACCAACUGAAUGAUUAUGGGAUUUUUGUCGACAAAAUUCCAAUAUUUUGUGACAACACAAGUGCCAUAGCCAUUUCCAACAAUCCGGUUCAACAUUCCAGAACCAAGCACAUAGAUAUCAUGUAUCAUUUUAUUCGAGAACAUGUCAUGAAUGAUACAGUGGUGUUACAUUUUGUACCCACGGCAGAUCAAAUCGCUGACAUCUUCACUAAACGACUUGAUGAAUCCACUUUCUCUAAGUUGGUUUGAGCUAGGGAUGUUAAAUAUGACAUGAUUCUCACUGUAUAUAUUUUUAAUAUGCUUUAUAUAUUUUUAUAUAAUUUUGUGAAUUUUCUAUGUAAUUAUAGGUAUUUUAUUAGAUUUUAUAUGAUUGUCUGUAUAUUAUUUGAUAAUUAUAUGUGUAAUUAUGCAUGUUUAUAUGUUUAUCUGUAAUAUUUCUAAAUGCCUGCAUACUCCCCUGUAUUAUUCUCUAAGCAUUUAGAUAAUUAUUUGUAUAUAUUUUGUAUUUUUCAAAAUUAAUUAAGCAUAAAUAUUUGAAUUUAAGUUAAUUCAUUUUUAUAAAUUAAAGUUAAGUUCAUAAGUAUUUAUAUUUAAUUAAAGUUGAAUUUUACAAAUUAUAUGUGUAAUAUUUAAUAAUGUUUUUAUAUUAGAUUUUUGAUUUAAUGUGCAAAAACGUUUUAUUUCUUAAAAAUAAAUCAAAAAUCACAUAUUACAUAAUUUUCUUUUAUUUUCUUUUUUGAAAACUCGGCAAGACAAUUCCAGUAAUUGUCUUACCGCAUUUUUCAAGCUUUUUUCUUUUAUUUUUCAACUGAUUAUUCAGUUAAUUAUGUGGCAAGACAAUUUCAGCAAUUGUCUUACCGAUUUUUUUAUAUAUUUUUCUUUUAAAUUUUGGCAAGACAAUUGUCCCAAUUGUCUUACCGAGACUCUCAUCUGGCUUCUCUCAUACGCCUCCCAACAACGGCAAGACAAUUCGAUAGAUAUUCUUACCGAGUAAAACUCGGCAAGACAAUCUCACCAAUUGUCUUACCGAAUUCAAAAACCCCCAAGACAAUACAUAUAAUUGUCUUACCCAUUCCUUAUACAUCUUCUUCACCAUUUUCACGCCUAUACACACAAAUAUACACGCACUUCACUUCAGUUUUUCAAGUUUUGUAUCAUAAACUUGCGGUUUCUUGUUUUCAAGUGUCAUACAACCUGCUUGUUUGGAUUUUAAGCCCGAAAUCUACCGAAGUACUGCCCGUUUUUAUACUCGAUUUCUCCGUGUUUUUGGAACUGAUUUCACCGUUUUGGGGGUUAAAUCGACUGAUUUGUACUGGUUUGUUGGGUGUUAGCGUGCUUUCGACUUAUUCUCAUCGAGUUUGGCCGAUUAUUUGUUGAUUUCGAAAAGUUUAAAUCAAAACCCUCUUUUGUGUUCUUGGAGAUUUUGGGGUAUUUCGAAUUUUGGGGAUUAUUUUGAUUAUUUGGAGACUAUUUGGAACCCUUGCAUUGAUUUUGGACUUGAAUAUGAAUCCGUUAAAGUUAAUUAAAUUUUAAUUCGGAAUUAAUUAAUAUUUCGAAUUAUUAAUUAAUUAAUUAGUCGUUAAAUUAAUUAUUGUGACACAUCAUUUAGUGAACUUGAGUCCCUUUGACAUAUUUCAAUAAAAUGAGAUUGAACCUUUUCCGGCAUCCAUGUUAUAAAUCAAAAUGAAUAAUAAAAUGUUUUCUUUAGUGAUUUGGACUAGACGCAAGUCUUUUUCACAUUUUAUUAGGCUCACAUAUAGCCUAGGGAUCCCAUUAUAUUUGAGAACCCAGUGCGAUUCGGGAUUACUUCGUGGCUGAUCACCGGCUGUAAUCCGUAGCGUCCUAUAAUGAAUUUUGAUGAUGAUAUGAUUAUAAAAUGUUGCCAUAUUGCCAUGAUGCCAUGAUUUCUAUACCAUGAUUAUAUAUGUGUUUUGCCAUGCCUAUUCAUUAUAUUAUCAUGACCCUUAAUGAUUGCUUUAUCAUUUAUUCUUGGUUCUGUUUCGGACACCUUUGAUAUUAUUAUAAUGCCAUGUGUUUAGGACUGUUAGUACUUGCUGAGUGUCUUUGCUCAUUUUCACGUAUUUAACCCUUUUUACAGCUAGCAACUAUAGUACGCACGAAGCAAACCGCACGUAAGUCGACCACUGGUUACGCCGAGAACUGUUUGAGGGUGAAGGUAGUUAUAUAUGAAGGUAGUCAAUUCUGUCCAAAUGUCAUUCGGUAUUUAUGAAAGUAUACGUGUCAUGAUCUUAUUGGAGGUUUUAUUAGGAAAUCUAUCGUUUUGUGGUUUAAGUGUAAGUGAAUAUGCGAAAAGAAAGGUACUAAUACGAUCGGUAAUUUAUAUCAAGGUAUUUGCGAAUAUAAUAGGCAUGGUGAUUAUUCCAACUAAAUAUUCAUAAGGAUUUAAGAGUCACAGGUACACAUAUAUUAGCAACAAUUGUAAAG